GUCAGCUGAUGUUUUUGUUUUUGUUUUGAUAACCACGAGCGAGUUCUGUGCAAUUCCACGCCGGUUGCAAUCGUUACAGCAUUACUGUGCAGGUUUCAUAUUCUAAUUUCUUGUUUGAAACGCACAAUAAAUCAUGACAAAUCUGGAGGUCAUCGUGGAAGAUUUAUCUGGCAAUCCAUGUUGUCAACAUGGACCAACUGUACUCUUCCACAGAACAGAUCAAAAUAAUGCAACUAUUGAAAAAUACUACGCUUGUACGGCUAGUCGCGAUGGUAAAUGUCCCUUUAAGGUCGGUGCAUCGACAAAGGUUACACACGAUAGCGUCAACGUUCCUGAGGAGAAAUCAACUAAAAAUUAUGAUGCAG